rnacentral:lncRNA from 1 species
GGUUGAGAGGAUGUUUUGCUAAAACAGGCAGAGAGGAGAGGCAGAGCCUAAGACGAGUGGAAUCAGUCUGACGAAGAGCAAAGUGUGGAGAGAACCUGAGGGGCUGAUCGGGAGAAAGCCUUCCACGGGAGUCUCCAGGUGUUAUGCUGCGGAACUCAGUGCCCACGGUCUUCAGUGGCGUGGCGUGGCGUGGCGUGGCGUGGCGUGGUGUGGUUGCCUAUUCCAGAGCAGCCACACAGACAGAUGAGGAAACUGAGGCCCAGAGAGGUUAAGUGUAUUGGCCAAAGUCAAACAGCUAGUAAGUGAUGGAGCCAGGACUCAAACUCAGCUUAGGAGCCAUGUCCACCUUGUUCCCUUCACUCUUUCCUCGUGUGACUGAGACACUGUGGUUUAAUCUGGAUCGACCCUGUGUGGAGGAGACAGAGCUGCAGCAGCAGGAGCAGCAGCAUCAGGCCUGGCUCCAAAGCAUCGCAGAGAAAGACAACAACCUGGUACCCAUCGGCAAGCCUGCCUCCGAGCACUAUGAUGACGAGGAAGAAGAGGAUGAUGAAGAUGACGAGGACAGUGAAGAGGAUUCAGAAGACGAUGAGGACAUGCAGGACAUGGAUGAGAUGAAUGACUAUAAUGAGUCACCUGAUGAUGGAGAGGUCAAUGAGGUAGGCGGGGUGUAGGGAGUGAGUGCCUUUGUUCCUAGGCUCCUGCCCCUGAUCUAAUUUAUUGCCAAGCCACACAGAAACCCUGGCUGUACCCAGGGGCAGGAUCUGGGCUGAGGCUGCCUGAGGCCCCUCCCCACCCACACCCAGCCUCCUCUUCAGGUGGACAUGGAAGGCAACGAACAGGAUCAGGACCAGUGGAUGAUCUAGGUAGAGCAGCCAAGGUGGCCUCAGACUGACUCCAGACCACCUCAGCCUAUUUUGCAUCCACAGCCUCAGCCCCUCAGCCUGCAGAACCAGCUUGUGGCCAUAGUGCCUAAAGCUUCCCUUAGGCACUUUGUCAGCUGCUGCCAGGACAAGGUCUCCUUGGGCCCUUCCAGGCCACCAGUCUUCCCUUGAAUCCCAAGAGCCUGAGCCCAUCCCACCUUCCUGGCUGGUACCUCACUCACUCCUUGGUUGCCAGGUGUGGUCCCUUUCUAUCCCUCUUUAAUAAAGACACAGGACUGAUUCUUUCCCCAAUGU